CAUAACUUCCAUCCAGAGUUUAGGCUAUGAGAGUUUGAUCUGAUAAAAGUAGGAGUGAUCAGCAUUUCCCUUCUUUCCCUUUCACAACAACGCGAUCUCUCAAAAAUAUCGUGGAAGGAAUCAACAAGCACCAACAAUGGCUGAUUUACAACAUCUCAAAGAACCCAUCAUCAACCAAACCAACGUCGCUUUGCAAAUAACAAAGCAACUCCUUGAACAAGAAUUCCAUGGCAAGAACAUGAUCUACUCCCCGCAAUCUAUCCAUAUCGUCCUCAGCUUAAUAGCCGCCAGGAACAACUGUCCCCAGCUUCUUUCAUUUCUCAACUCCAAGUCCAUCGCCGAACUCAACUCCCUCGCCGGCGAUCUCGUCACUUCCGUUUUGGUUGAUUUACCCACCAGAGGAGGGCCACGUUUGAACUUCACAAAUGGCGUCUGGGUCGACGAGUCUGAACCUCUCGACGAAUCUUACAAAAAGGUGGUGUUGGAUUCCUACAAGGCGGCUCUGAACCAUGUCGAUUUCAAAACCAAUCCGAAACAAGUGAGAUCCCAAGUGAAUGCAUGGGUAAAGAAAGAAACCAAAGGCCUCAUCCCUCAGAUUCUUCCUCCCGGGUCGAUCAAAAUUGAGACGAGUCUCAUCUGUGUAAACGCCUUAUACUUCAAAGCAACUUGGAGCAAGCCGUACUUCACAAAACCAAAGACAAAAGAGCAUGAGUUUCACCUAAUGAACGGAGACUCGGUUAUGAAAGUGCCUUUCAUGACCAGCAAUGAUUGCCACUACAUCGGUGCCUUUGACGGCUUCAAAGUCUUGAGACUUUUUUCCAGGAAGUAUGAGGAUGGUGAGUUAUUUGAGGACUUGUCUCAUUUGUCUCGUACUGGCAACCGUAAAUACGACGACUACCGGAAGUUCUCUAUUUUUUGGUUGCUUCCGGAUGCAAGAGAUGGGCUGCCGGCUCUGGUUGAAAGAGUUUGUACCGAGUCUGGGUUUCUAGAUCGCCAUACAGACCUUAGAUAUGUUAGGGUUGGGGAAUUCUUGAUCCCAAAGUUUAAAAUGUCUUCCAGGUUUGAAGCUUCGGGUGUUCUGAAGAAAAUGGGGCUGGGGGAUGUUUUGGAUUUGAUAGAGAUUGUUCAUGAAUCUGCUGUAAUAGAGGUUGAUGAAAAUGGCACAACAGCUGCAGCUGCGACUUAUGCUGUAAUAAGUUGUAGCGCAGGCAAAGCCUCAGAGCCGGAUGAAAAGUUAGACUUUGUGGCUGAUCACCCCUUCAUGUUUCUGAUAAGGGAAGACAUGACGGGAACAGUGCUCUUCAGUCUUCAUGGGGCAGGUCCUCAAUCCUCUUCCGGGUUGA